rnacentral:lncRNA from 1 species
GGCCGUCGGAUCCAUGUGGACAUUAAGUUAGAGUCGGGACGUCGGGACUCGUCCUUCUUGGCGAGCGUCGAUCAUCAGUCGAAGAGCUAAAACCCAAAAUUUGAAACUAAAUUUGUAUUCUGAAUGAACAGGCAUAAAGUUCAUUGGUGAUACAACUUCAGGUUGUCAGCAUUCCAGGUUCGGAGAAUGGGUUUCCCCUCCAGGGUUUCCAAUCGGUAAGCUCUUGGCCCGUAGGUGUCUGCUACUAUGUAGGGCCCUUCCC